rnacentral:rRNA from 1 species
AUACGUAGGGGGCGAGCGUUGUCCGGAAUGACUGGGCGUAAAGGGCGUGUAGGCGGCCGAUUAAGUCUGGAGUGAAAGUCCUGCUUUCAAGGUGGGAAUUGCUUUGGAGACUGGUUGGCUUGAGUGCGGAAGAGGUAAGUGGAAUUCCCAGUGUAGCGGUGAAAUGGGUAGAGAUUGGGAGGAACACCAGUGGCGAAGGCGACUUACUGGGCCGUAACUGACGCUGAGGCGCGAAAGCGUGGGGAGCGAACAGGAUUAGAUACCCUGGUAGUCCACGCGGUAAACGAUGAAUGCUAGGUGUAGGGGGUAUCGACCCCUCCUGUGCCGGAGUGAACACAAUAAGCAUUCCGCCUGGGGAGUACGGCCGCAAGGUUGAAACUCAAAGGAAUUGACGGGG